GGGUUGUGAGGUUAAGCGACUAAGCGUACACGGUGGAUGCCCUGGCAGUCAGAGGCGAUGAAGGGCGUGCUAAUCUGCGAUAAGCGCCGGUAAGGUGAUAUGAACCGUUAUAACCGGCGAUACCCGAAUGGGGAAACCCAGUGUGACUCGUCACACUAUCAUUAACUGAAUCCAUAGGUUAAUGAGGCGAACCGGGGGAACUGAAACAUCUAAGUACCCCGAGGAAAAGAAAUCAACCGAGAUUCCCUCAGUAGCGGCGAGCGAACGGGGAGGAGCCCAGAGCCUGAAUCAGCAUGUGUGUUAGUGGAAGCGUCUGGAAAGGCGCGCGAUACAGGGUGACAGCCCCGUACACAAAAGCGCAUAUGCUGUGAGCUCGAUGAGUAGGGCGGGACACGUGGUAUCCUGUCUGAAUAUGGGGGGACCAUCCUCCAAGGCUAAAUACUCCUGACUGACCGAUAGUGAACCAGUACCGUGAGGGAAAGGCGAAAAGAACCCCGGUGAGGGGAGUGAAAAAGAACCUGAAACCGUGUACGUACAAGCAGUGGGAGCACCCUUUGGGGUGUGACUGCGUACCUUUUGUAUAAUGGGUCAGCGACUUAUAUUCUGUAGCAAGGUUAACCG
rnacentral:rRNA from 2 species